CGCGAAAUACGAUUUUUUCUUCUUGUCUUUUGUCCGUACGGACAAGGCCCGCGAACCGUGUAACGACGUCCGUCGGAGGACUCGGCGAAACGCGAAACAAAAACUCGACUAACGGUCAUUCCGCGUUACGUCGAAUUUCCCACUAUGUCCCGUCUUCUCGUAUUUCUCGUCGGUAACAGUGGCCAACCAUCUUGCGAAAUAUUUCCGUAUUUCAGAUCCCGAACGUUGCCUGGGUACUAUUUUGGUUUUACUAAGGUGUUUAUUUUUUUUCCUUUUUUCUGGUCUGUGGACACGUUUUUUUUUUUUUUUUAGAAAACUUGCACCGAAAUAUAAGUGUUAUAAGCACUAUAUCCGAAAGGUCAAGUUGUCUAAAUUGUUCUUUAAAGAGGUCACUUUUUGAUUUUUUUUUUUUUUUAAUAAAAUCACUUUAGUGGGAAAAAACGUAGGAAAACGUACAAUUUCACGAUUUCGUUAUUUAAUAAAAACAGAAAAAAUGAUUUAAUCGAAAAAUCACAGAAUACAUUUUUUAUUGCCUUUUUGAUUUAAUUUAUUACGGUAUUAUCGUCAAAACUUUUGAGCCGAUUUUAAGUUUUUAAGGAAUUUUUAUUUUUGUCAUUUUUUUCUGUAAUUUGGUUAUAAAGACACGUAGAGAGUUAAAAUUUGGUAACAAUACUCAUAUUGGACUUAUCUAGUCGUGGUACGAUGAUUUCUAAAAUCACCGGAUGACUUUUUUUUUUUUUUUUAAUAAGCUUUUUGAAAUCAAAUUUCAACGAAAAUCGCAAAAAAAAUUACGGCAUUUCAAAUUAUGUAUUACCGACUGCGCUCGGCAUCGUUGUUCGUCAAAAAAUGGUUUUUCUUUGCUUACAGAUAUAAAUAAAACCUUAUGUGUCUUCCUUUCGAACUUCUUACCUACAACAGUGCUGCUCUCAUCCCCAGUAUCAGCCCUCUUUUUUUUUUUUCUAUUCCACAAUAAUUUGUGACAUACGAUAUUAAAUGAAAAAUAUCAAGUAUGAAACAUGUCACAUUAUCAAUCUUUGUUCGUUUAUUAUUAAUCUGCAAUUUUCAUGAAAUUGUUUGAUUUUUUUAAUUAUAUUAUUUACGACCUAAUGGCAAACCCAGAGAACGGUGCCUCGUCGUUUUCGAAGAACACCUUAAGGAAUCUGCAGUAAAUUUAAGACCGGGAUAGAUGGCGCGAUGUUGUUUUGGUGGCGAGAACCCUUAGAGCCUAUAAUGGCAGCCCACUGUAAAUAUUAUUUGAAAUCUUGUGUUGUUUUUUUUUUUUCAAAGUUAAAUUUUUCAUUCGUUUGUACUCGAGUAAAAACAUAUUGUGCACACGGGUCAGUAAUUAUAGUAUAUUAUAUUAUUUAAUGUCGAUCAAAUAGAAUAGCCGUACGACUACCGUUAGAAAAUCUCCCCGUAUUUAUCGACAAUAAUUAAAGUUAUCAACAAAUAUCGUUGUACAAGUAGAAAUACAUAAUAAAUUGUGUAUUUAAAUAGUCCCUGAUAUUUACGUAGUUUGAAUAAACAAUAAUAAACAGAAAUUAUUAUCUCAAAUAAUGCGUUAUAACACAACACUAUACUAUACUAUUUCGAACAAUAUCAAAUUUCCGUUAAAUUUAUUUAUCGAUUAUUCACCCGUGGUUUUAUACGGGUGUAUUCAUAUACUAUGAAAUAUAAUACUUUAUCUAACAUAUAUGAGCACACACAUACAAAAAACACAAAACAAAACCCUAUUCAUAAACAAUUGACCGCUGUAAAACUGCAUUCUUAUCUAUAUAAUAGUAUGGUUUUUUUUUCUCAUCUUAACACAAUAAUUAUCAAUAACUGCCAACAAGAUGUGUAGGGCGUUCACGAUGGGGAUUCAAGAGAUUCAACUGGGAUGACGGAGGUAAGUAAUACUUUUAAUGUCAAUGUUAAAAAAAAAAAAUAAUAAUAAUAAUAUUAAUAAUAAAAAUCAAUAUAUUUUUUUUAUAACUCUUUGAUAAAGUAUCGAUGAACAGCGGACGUUUAUAUGGAAGACAAUAAAAGAAAAAAAAAAACGAAAAAACAUUAAACAAUAAACAAAAACCACAGUACGAUAUUAAAUUUUUGUGGAACUUCGUCUUCGUCGGCGCGCAUGCAAAUGCCAUUAUGCGAGUAUGCGUACGUAUUAUUUAUUUACACGGGUAGUGUGUAAAUUCGGGUCUUAAAAUAACAUUCGAUUGGCCCGUAUUUUUUUCCAUUCAUUCGUUAUUUCCCUGUCACUGCAUGACUAUAAUAAAUUCAAAACGGAUCAUUGACGUAUAGUAUAUACACAUAAUAUAUGUAUAGGUGAACGGGGAUUUGUGCGAUGGCCCCGAGGAUUUUAAAAUACUACAAAGAAAUAAUUUUAAAUAUUUAGACGUGGGUAAAUCUAAAAUUUUGAGAGGAUGUCAUAAUAUACCGGCGUGUGUCGUCACCGUCUUUAUAAUGCGUGACCUAGUGAAAUUUAUUACUUUAUUUGGAAAAUAAAUUGUAAUUUGUGGCGUUUAAAUUGAAAUUUAAUCAUAUCAAAUAACAAAAUUGUAAAGAAUUAAAACAAUGUGAAAAAAAAUGCAAAGAAUAGGUGUAAAUAUUUAUGUGAC